GUCCACGCCGUAAACGAUGUCUACUAGCCGUUGGGAGACUUGAUCUUUUAGUGGCGAAGCUAACGCGAUAAGUAGACCGCCUGGGGAGUACGGCCGCAAGGUUAAAACUCAAAUGAAUUGACGGGGGCCCGCACAAGCGGUGGAGCAUGUGGUUUAAUUCGAAGCAACGCGAAGAACCUUACCAACUCUUGACAUCCAGAGAAGUUACUAGAGAUAGUUUCGUGCCUUCGGGAACUCUGAGACAGGUGCUGCAUGGCU
rnacentral:rRNA from 1 species